UCGGGUAAUCGAGCGGCAAUGCCGUUAGGAAAGUCCUUGCUAGCACUGGCUGCGAUGCCGGUAGUGUUUAUGCCUAAUUAAUAAAUAAGUUAGGACACGUGUGGGAGCGUGAUGGCAGGGAACAAACCUAAGUGUUUAUAUGGUUUGCUCCCUAUAAAGUGCCACAGUGACGAUGCUUUUGGAAACAAAAGUAGUGAAACGGGUAAACCCCUUAAGCUAGAAACCCAAAUUUUGGUAGGGGAAUCUUAACUAAGAAAAUGAACUAAAGUUAAGGCUGAAUAUUUCAGAGAUAAAUGAUUACCACUUUCUUUUGAAAGUACAGAACAAGGCUUACAG
rnacentral:RNase_P_RNA from 1 species